UCUAUCACAGCUCAGUCGGAAGAGCAUGAGACCCUUGACCUCAGGAUCGUGAGUUCGAACCCUACCUGGGGACAAAA